GGCGAAUGCGCGGGCUACCAUGCAGUCGAGCGGUGAACAGAAAGAAGCUUGCUACUUUGCUGACGAGCGGCGGACGGGUGAGUAAUGCUUGGGAACAUGCCUUGAGGUGGGGGACAACAGUUGGAAACGACUGCUAAUACCGCAUAAUGUCUACGGACCAAAGGGGGCUUCGGCUCUCGCCUUUAGAUUGGCCCAAGUGGGAUUAGCUAGUUGGUGAGGUAAUGGCUCACCAAGGCGACGAUCCCUAGCUGGUUUGAGAGGAUGAUCAGCCACACUGGGACUGAGACACGGCCCAGACUCCUACGGGAGGCAGCAGUGGGGAAUAUUGCACAAUGGGCGCAAGCCUGAUGCAGCCAUGCCGCGUGUGUGAAGAAGGCCUUCGGGUUGUAAAGCACUUUCAGUCAGGAGGAAAGCGUGGUGGUUAAUACCCAUCAUGUGUGACGUUACUGACAGAAGAAGCACCGGCUAACUCCGUGCCAGCAGCCGCGGUAAUACGGAGGGUGCGAGCGUUAAUCGGAAUUACUGGGCGUAAAGCGUACGCAGGCGGUUUGUUAAGCGAGAUGUGAAAGCCCCGGGCUCAACCUGGGAACUGCAUUUCGAACUGGCAAACUAGAGUGUGAUAGAGGGUGGUAGAAUUUCAGGUGUAGCGGUGAAAUGCGUAGAGAUCUGAAGGAAUACCGAUGGCGAAGGCAGCCACCUGGGUCAACACUGACGCUCAUGUACGAAAGCGUGGGGAGCAAACGGGAUUAGAUACCCCGGUAGUCCACGCCGUAAACGAUGUCUACUAGAAGCUCGGAGCCUCGGUUCUGUUUUUCAAAGCUAACGCAUUAAGUAGACCGCCUGGGGAGUACGGCCGCAAGGUUAAAACUCAAAUGAAUUGACGGGGGCCCGCACAAGCGGUGGAGCAUGUGGUUUAAUUCGAUGCAACGCGAAGAACCUUACCUACACUUGACAUACAGAGAACUUACCAGAGAUGGUUUGGUGCCUUCGGGAACUCUGAUACAGGUGCUGCAUGGCUGUCGUCAGCUCCGGUUUGAAGAUGUUGGGUUAAGUCCCGCAACCAAGCGCAACCCCUAUCCCUAAGUUGCUAGCAGGGAAAUGCUGGAAAACUCCCAAGGAAAACUGGCUGGUGGUAAAACCGGGAGGAAAGGUGGGGGACUACGUCCAGGUCUUCCAUGGCCCCUUACGGUUAGAGGGUACCCCCAUG
rnacentral:rRNA from 1 species